rnacentral:rRNA from 1 species
UUGAACGCUGGCGGCAGGCCUAACACAUGCAAGUCGAACGGUAACAGGAAGAAGCUUGCUUCUUUGCUGACGAGUGGCGGACGGGUGAGUAAUGUCUGGGAAACUGCCUGAUGGAGGGGGAUAACUACUGGAAACGGUAGCUAAUACCGCAUAACGUCGCAAGACCAAAGAGGGGGACCUUCGGGCCUCUUGCCAUCGGAUGUGCCCAGAUGGGAUUAGCUAGUAGGUGGGGUAACGGCUCACCUAGGCGACGAUCCCUAGCUGGUCUGAGAGGAUGACCAGCCACACUGGAACUGAGACACGGUCCAGACGCCUACGGGAGGCAGCAGUGGGGAAUAUUGCACAAUGGGCGCAAGCCUGAUGCAGCCAUGCCGCGUGUAUGAAGAAGGCCUUCGGGUUGUAAAGUACUUUCAGCGGGGAGGAAGGGAGUAAAGUUAAUACCUUUGCUCAUUGACGUUACCCGCAGAAGAAGCACCGGCUAACUCCGUG